rnacentral:rRNA from 1 species
UGCGGAGGGUGCAAGCGUUAUCCGGAUUCACUGGGUUUAAAGGGUGCGUAGGUGGGCAGUUAAGUCAGUGGUGAAAUCUCCGGGCUCAACCCGGAAACUGCCAUUGAUACUAUCUGUCUUGAAUAUCGUGGAGGUAAGCGGAAUAUGUCAUGUAGCGGUGAAAUGCUUAGAUAUGACAUAGAACACCAAUUGCGAAGGCAGCUUACUACCCGAAUAUUGACACUGAGGCACGAAAGCGUGGGGAUCAAACAGG